ACAGGGAUUGCCCCAGUAACGGCGAGUGAAGCGGCAACAGCUCAAAUUUGAAAUCUGGCCCCCAGGGUCCGAGUUGUAAUUUGCAGAGGAUGAUUUUGGCGAGGUGCCUUCCGAGUUCCCUGGAACGGGACGCCACAGAGGGUGAGAGCCCCGUCUGGUUGGACGCCGAGCCUAUGUAAAUCUCCUUCGACGAGUCGAGUAGUUUGGGAAUGCUGCUCUAAAUGGGAGGUAUAUGUCUUCUAAAGCUAAAUAUUGGCCAGAGACCGAUAGCGCACAAGUAGAGUGAUCGAAAGAUGAAAAGCACUUUGAAAAGAGGGUUAAAUAGUACGUGAAAUUGUUGAAAGGGAAGCGCUCAUGACCAGACUUGGGCCCGGUGAAUCAUCCAGCGUUCUCGCUGGUGCACUUUGCCGGGCUCAGGCCAGCAUCAGUUUGCCCCGGGGGAUAAAGGCUUUGGGAAUGUGGCUCCUCCGGGAGUGUUAUAGCCCACUGCACAAUACCCUGGGGUGGACUGAGGUUCGCGCAUCUGCAAGGAUGCUGGCGUAAUGGUCAUCAGCGACCCGUCUUGAAACACGGACCAAGGAGUCGUCUUCGUAUGCGAGUGUUCGGGUGUAAAACCCCUACGCGUAAUGAAAGUGAACGCAGGUGAGAGCUUCGGCGCAUCAUCGACCGAUCCUGAUGUUCUCGGAUGGAUUUGAGUAAGAGCAUACGGGGCCGGACCCGAAAGAAGGUGAACUAUGCCUGUAUAGGGUGAAGCCAGAGGAAACUCUGGUGGAGGCUGGCAGCGGUUCCCAGGUGCAAAUCGAUCGUCAAAUAUGGGCAUGGGGGCGAAAGACUAAUCGAACCUUCUAGUAGCUGGUUUCCGCCGAA
rnacentral:rRNA from 1 species